AGCGAACGCUGGCGGCAGGCCUAACACAUGCAAGUCGAACGGGCUCUUCGGAGCUAGUGGCGGACGGGUGAGUAACACGUGGGAACGUACCUUUAGGUUCGGAAUAAGCCCGGGAAACUGGGUCUAAUACCGAAUGUGCCCUUCGGGGGAAAGAUUUAUCGCCUUUAGAGCGGCCCGCGUCUGAUUAGCUAGUUGGUGGGGUAAUGGCCCACCAAGGCUACGAUCAGUAGCUGGGCUGAGAGGAUGACCAGCCACAUUGGGACUGAGACACGGCCCAAACUCCUACGGGAGGCAGCAGUGGGGAAUCUUGCGCAAUGGGCGAAAGCCUGACGCAGCCAUGCCGCGUGGAUGAUGAAGGUCUUAGGAUUGUAAAAUCCUUUCACCGGUGAAGAUAAUGACUGUAGCCGGAGAAGAAGCCCCGGCUAACUUCGUGCCAGCCGCCGCGGUAAGAC
rnacentral:rRNA from 1 species